rnacentral:rRNA from 1 species
GAUGAACGCUGGCGGCGUGCCUAAUGCAUGCAAGUCGAGCGAACGGACGAGAAGCUUGCUUCUCUGAUGUUAGCGGCGGACGGGUGAGUAACACGUGGAUAACCUACCUAUAAGACUGGGAUAACUUCGGGAAACCGGAGCUAAUACCGGAUAAUAUUUUGAACCGCAUGGUUCAAAAGUGAAAGACGGUCUUGCUGUCACUUAUAGAUGGAUCCGCGCUGCAUUAGCUAGUUGGUAAGGUAACGGCUUACCAAGGCAACGAUGCAUAGCCGACCUGAGAGGGUGAUCGGACACACUGGAACUGAGACACGGUCCAGACUCCUACGGUAGGCAGCAGUAGGGAAUCUUCCGCAAUGGGCGAAAGCCUGACGGAGCAACGCCGCGUGAGUGAUGAAGGUCUUCGGAUCGUAAAACUCUGUUAUUAGGGAAGAACAUAUGUGUAAGUAACUGUGCACAUCUUGACGGUACCUAAUCAGAAAGCCACGGCUAACUACGUG